GACGAACGCUGGCGGCGUGCUUAACACAUGCAAGUCGAACGGAAAGGCCCUGCUUUUGUGGGGUGCUCGAGUGGCGAACGGGUGAGUAACACGUGAGUAACCUGCCCUUGACUUUGGGAUAACUUCAGGAAACUGGGGCUAAUACCGGAUAGGAGCUCCUGCUGCAUGGUGGGGGUUGGAAAGUUUCGGCGGUUGGGGAUGGACUCGCGGCUUAUGAGCUUGUUGGUGGGGUAGUGGCUUACCAAGGCUUUGACGGGUAGCCGGCCUGAGAGGGUGACCGGCCACAUUGGGACUGAGAUACGGCCCAGACUCCUACGGGAGGCAGCAGUGGGGAAUAUUGCACAAUGGGCGGAAGCCUGAUGCAGCAACGCCGCGUGCGGGAUGACGGCCUUCGGGGUGUAAACCGCUUUCGCCUGUGACGAAGAGUGAGUGACGGUAAUGGGUAAAGAAGCACCGGCUAACUACGUG
rnacentral:rRNA from 1 species